rnacentral:rRNA from 1 species
UACGUAGGUGGCAAGCGUUGUCCGGAAUUAUUGGGCGUAAAGCGCGCGCAGGUGGUUUCUUAAGUCUGAUGUGAAAGCCCACGGCUCAACCGUGGAGGGUCAUUGGAAACUGGGGAACUUGAGUGCAGGAGAGAAGAGUGGAAUUCCACGUGUAGCGGUGAAAUGCGUAGAGAUGUGGAGGAACACCAGUGGCGAAGGCGACUCUUUGGCCUGUAACUGACACUGAGGCGCGAAAGCGUGGGGAGC